GUGAACCUGGGAGGUGGAGCUCGCAGUGAGCCAAGAUCGCGCCACGGCACUCCAGCCUGGGCGACAGAGCAAGACUCCAUCUCAAAAAAAAAAAAAAAAAAAGAGAGAUGGAGUCUCCCUAGGUUGCCCAAACUGGUCUUGAACUCCUGUCCUCAAGUGAUCCUCUCACUUUGGCCUCCCAAAAUGCUGGGAUUACAGGCAUAGCCACCACACCAGGUUCAGCCAUUUUUGGAAAGAUGCCUUUUAACCUGCAAGAAACGAGACAGCAGAGUCCCUCAGGCAAGUGGCAGGGUUUCAUCUCUUCUCGAUCCUCCUGAGCAACCAACCACUCCUGAUUUCAGCUGUCACAGACACUAUCAUCUUGCCACUCUGCUUGUCAAACUAGAGGCUGAAAAAGGGACUGGCAUUCUCAUGCAGCCAGUAGGCUGUCUGUCACUUGACACUCAGGCCAUGUCCACUUCCUAAACAGCAUCCCAGGCCAAGAAUCAUGAAUAAGAAGGUGAGAUACCUGCCUUACCAAUAGCAAAACAUACAGUCAUCAAAAUAGUAACACACUGGCUCAGGGUCAGGUGUGGUGGCUCACACCUGUAAUCCCAGCACUUUGGGAGGCUGAGGCAGGUGGAUCACCUGAGGUCAGGAGUUCAAGACCAGCCUGGCCAACAUAGCGAAACCCUGUCUCUACUAAAAAUACAAAAAUUAGCCAGGUGUGAUGGUGGGCACCUGUAAUCCCAGCUACUCGGGAGGCUGCUGAGGCAAGAGAAUCACUUGAACCCUGGAGGCAGAGGUUGUAGUGAGCCGAGAUUGCGCCACUGCACUCCAGCUUGGGUGACAGAGCAAGACACCGUCUCAAAAAAAAAAAAAAAAGGACAUUGACAUUGACUCAGGGUAAGGUGUGGUGGCUCAUACUUGCAAUCCCAGCACUUUGGAAGGCUAAGAUGUGAGGAUCACUUAAGGCCAGGAAUUCAAGACCAGCCUGGGCAACAUAGCAAGGCCCCAACUUAAAAAAAAAAUACAUAAAUUAACCAGGCAUGGAGGUGUACGCCUGUAGUUCCAGCUAUUUAGGAGGCUGAGGUGGGAAGAUCCCUCGAGCCCAGGUGCUGGAGGCUACAGUGAGCAAUGAUCACACCACGGCAUUCCAGCCUGAGCCUGGAUGAUGGAGUGAGAUCCUAUCUCUAAAAUAAAAAAAAAUAAAAAAAAACCAAAACAAAACAUUGGCUCGGGAAAAUAUCAAGAGAGAAAGUAGAAACAAAUACAAAAACAAUAUAGCAUUGACUCAGGAAAAUACUGAGGGAAUCCAAGAACAAAUUCAGGAAGAUUUAUUUAAGAACAUAAUAUAGGUUCAAGGUCGCAUUGCAACUUCAUGGAAAAGGAGGUGUUAUUUGCCUUGUCAGUUUGCACUAGAAUGAGACAAAACCUGAACCCUACCUUAGACCACAUACAAAAAUAAAUUCCGAAGGAAUCAAAUAUUUCAGGGAGGCAGGAUGUGGUGGCUCAUGCCUGUAAUCCCAGCACUUUGGGAGGCCAUGGUGGGUGGAUUGCUUGAGCCUAGGGGUUCAAGACCAGCCUGAGAAACAUAGUGAAUCCCAUCUCUACCAAAAAUAAAAAAUAAAAAUAAAAAAGUAAACAGGCAUGGAGGUGCUUAUCUGUAGUUCCAGAUACUCAGGG
rnacentral:lncRNA from 1 species